AGAGUUUGAUCCUGGCUCAGGAUGAACGCUAGCGACAGGCCUAACACAUGCAAGUCGAGGGGCAGCGGGGAGGUAGCAAUACCUUUGCCGGCGACCGGCGCACGGGUGAGUAACACGUAUGCAAUCCACCUGUAACAGGGGGAUAACCCGGAGAAAUCCGGACUAAUACCCCAUAAUAUGGGCUCUCCGCAUGGAGGGUUCAUUAAAGAGAGCAAUUUUGGUUACAGACGAGCAUGCGCUCCAUUAGCCAGUUGGCGGGGUAACGGCCCACCAAAGCGACGAUGGAUAGGGGUUCUGAGAGGAAGGUCCCCCACAUUGGAACUGAGACACGGUCCAAACUCCUACGGGAGGCAGCAGUGAGGAAUAUUGGUCAAUGGACGAGAGUCUGAACCAGCCAAGUAGCGUGAAGGAUGAAGGUCCUACGGAUUGUAAACUUCUUUUAUAAGGGAAUAAACCCUCCCACGUGUGGGAGCUUGUAUGUACCUUAUGAAUAAGCAUCGGCUAACUCCGUGCCAGCAGCCGCGGUAAUACGGAGGAUGCGAGCGUUAUCCGGAUUUAUUGGGUUUAAAGGGUGCGUAGGCGGCACGCCAAGUCAGCGGUGAAAUUUUCGGGCUCAACCCGGACUGUGCCGUUGAAACUGGCGAGCUAGAGUGCACAAGAGGCAGGCGGAAUGCGUGGUGUAGCGGUGAAAUGCAUAGAUAUCACGCAGAACCCCGAUUGCGAAGGCAGCCUGCUAGGGUGCGACAGACGCUGAGGCACGAAAGCGUGGGUAUCGAACAGGAUUAGAUACCCUGGUAGUCCACGCAGUAAACGAUGAAUACUAACUGUUUGCGAUACAAUGUAAGCGGUACAGCGAAAGCGUUAAGUAUUCCACCUGGGGAGUACGCCGGCAACGGUGAAACUCAAAGGAAUUGACGGGGGCCC
rnacentral:rRNA from 1 species